GAUGAACGUUGGCGGCGUGCUUAACACAUGCAAGUCGAACGGAAAGGCCUCAGCUUGCUGGGGUGCUCGAGUGGCGAACGGGUGAGUAACACGUAGGUGAUCUGCCUUUCACUUCGGGAUAAGCUUGGGAAACUGGGUCUAAUACCGGAUAUUCACGGCACCGUGGUUGGUGUGGUGGAAAGCUUUUGCGGUGGGAGAUGAGCUUGCGGCCUAUCAGCUUGUUGGUGGGGUAAUGGCCUACCAAGGCGGCGACGGGUAGCCGGCCUGAGAGGGUGUGCGGCCACAUUGGGACUGAGAUACGGCCCAGACUCCUACGGGAGGCAGCAGUGGGGAAUUUUGCACAAUGGGCGGAAGCCUGAUGCAGCGACGCCGUGUGGGGGAUGAAGGCCUUCGGGUUGUAAACUCCUUUCGUCAGGGACGAAGUUUGUUUGACGGUACCUGGAUAAGAAGCACCGGCUAACUACGUG
rnacentral:rRNA from 1 species